AGUCUGUAGCAAACAAGGCAACCCACAGUCUUUGAUAGGGUCAAGAAGACUUCGCUGGCUCCAAUGGGGGAAGCCUCUUGAAUUGGGUACAGGAAAAAUGGUAAUAUAUGUGCCAAAAAAACCAAACUAAACCAAAACCUAAGAGGGCCUUCUGGUUCACCCCUUGGGUUUCUAAGAAGCUACACUUCCGUAAUUAGACCACUGUGGGGCAGAAGAGCUACAAAAAUUCCUCAGCAUGGCUGACUCCACCGCCCUCUGGGCGCUCAUCACUGCUGACUUGGUCUGCGACAGGCAGAGGAGGCUCAGGUGCCUCGUUUUCAGCUCCCACCACCUCCUCCCAGCCACCCGAUCCAGAGAGAGAAAAUCAAGAUGCAGCAACUGGGGAAUCCAAAAAAAUGGUUACAACAGCUAAGAGGUCUAGUGCUACAGGCCAGGGUGCUCGCUCCCAGUCUUCCAAAGGGCAAAGAAGGGGCCAGGUGGGGAGAGCAGAUAGUUACAGCUGCCUGACCGAAGACCGAAAAAAAGUUGGAGGGAAGUGGAUAAGUCUGGGAGAGUUUCUUUUCCAAGUCAGAGGAAAGGGUGGAUGUCUCUGAAGAGUUCCCAGUCUUUAAUAAGGCCACUCAGCCCCAGGGUGCCUGCCUACACCAAUGAGGAGAAGGCAAGGGGACCUUGCAAGGCUAAAGCCUGAAGGCAUCCAGGCCAACAGGAUGCUGCAGGUGAGAGGUGUUCCUUGGGGCAGGGGAGAUGAGGUGAGCUCAGCAGUGAGGCUGGGAGACAAGCAGAGAUCAGGCAUCAUGGCCAUCUUCCCCACAGCAGAUGUGAGUGUGAAACAAGACCUUAACAAAAGAUGCAGUCCUACCUACAACCCAGUGCACGAGAGACUGGGGCACGGGGACUCCUGUUACAAAACACAACAACAACUCCUCAAACCAAUCCCUCCAACAACAACAACAACCAGUAACAGCAACAAGGAA
rnacentral:lncRNA from 1 species